rnacentral:lncRNA from 1 species
AACGGCCCGGAAGUGCGGCCUUGUAGUCGGUCAGGAGGAAGCGGCCACGGCAGAGCCUGGUGCCUGAAGAGGAGUCGGAGGUGGGGUCGAAUGGGCAUCCCCCUGCCGCAGGGCGGGCGAGGAGGCUGGGGCGUGCCAGGGGAGGGGCACCUGCGCUCCGCUAGAAGCGCACGCUGAGAACGCGAGGGGGCGCUGCAGGACCGGGGGGAGAAGCCGCACCAGUGCGCCGUGUGCUGGCGAUCCUUCUCUCUACGCGACUACCUGCUCAAACACAUGGUCACGCACACCGGCGUGCGCGCCUUCCAGUGCGCCGUCUGCGCCAAGCGCUUCACGCAGAAGAGCUCGCUCAACGUGCACAUGCGCACUCACCGGCCCGAGCGCGCGCCCUGCCCCGCCUGCGGCAAGGUCUUCUCGCACCGCGCGCUGCUGGAGCGCCACCUGGCGGCGCACCCUGCGCCCUGAUGGCGCUGGGGCCUGGCCUCGCCCACGGUGGAUCCGGGGCCUCCCGCACAGUCGGCCACGCCCGCUGCGGGACCCGUGGUUCCCGCCACUAGACCACGCUCCCUCCUGAGCGCAGGUCCUCUCUCUCCCUUCACCCUUUCUCCAUACCAGGGCCUAAGUCCGCCUUACUCCUCUCCUCCAUGUACUUGAACCCUCCAGGUGGUGCCGGGCUGGGGCUGGGGCUGGUUAGACCACUUCUGAGAACUGGACUAUUUCCUGCGUAAACCGGGCGCUCAGGCGCUUGGACCCGGCCCAAGAUUUGACUCCGGUUCUCACCCCGCCCUCUCCUGGGGUGGUGGUGGGGGCUGGGGGGCCGCUUGCCUGCCCCAGGGUCAGGCUGGGCAAGGUCCCUAGCUCUCUACCCAAGCUGUUACUCCCUCAUGGGGCGCCUAAGGAGACUCAAGUGGACCCAUCAUAUAUGGGGGCUGGGCCUCGGGACUCUCGCUCUAAUAAAGGACUGUAGGCCAUGGGGCCUAAACCACG